rnacentral:lncRNA from 1 species
GAAACCUGGGCUCCUAACUCUGCCUCAGCAUCUGCUUCCUGGAGAACCGGGCCUGUGACACUCCCUGAGACCAAAACAGAAUCUCAGGUUUCAGCUCUGUGCCAUGUAUUAGUCAGGUCAUAUGACAGGUUAACCUGGAGUAUGUAUCAGGCAGCUGUUGGCCCAACAAGGCUGGGUCACACACAAGCACGGACGCUCGGCAGUAUUUCUCGCCCACCCGUGUGAGAGGUGGCUGGGGCAGCUCCGUUCCACGUGUCCUGUUGUGCGAUCUGGGCUGAAGUCAUCAGAGGAAGGCUCUUUUCAUGGCAGAUUUGGUAGGAGAGCAGCCCCAGUGGCCCCCACAGCACCUUUCAAACCUUUGCUCCCAUCAUGUUCACUCGCCCUGACCAAGGCAGCUCACGUGGCCAAAUCCAAAAUGAAGAGAUAAACUUGACCCUGAGGUCCUGCAGACGGUUUGGAUGUGUGCUCCUUCUCCAGAGGACCGUCUCCAACAGAUCUUUCAAGUACCUGUCAAUACAGUGUUUCCAAACCGCUUAGAUGCAGUGGCUCAACGCCUCACUCCUGGAUCAUCCUUCCCGCAGCCCUGCAUCCUCUGCUCCAACCUCACCCUGCCGCACACUCUGGGAAGUCCUUCCCCUCUCUCCUGGGCUGGAACCCUGGACUCCCACAGCCCAGGUCUUCCUCUUUCUUGCUCCAGAAGCACAUUCUCUAGGGCCACGGCAAACACUGGCAAGGAUGCCGGGGGUGGUUCGGCCGGAGCAACUGUCCUGGCCCACCAUCUGGCAGCUUCCAUCAAAGCAAGACCCCUGGGUCCCGUGAGCAGCAGUCCUGCUCCCGAGCACACGUCCCGGGGAAAGGCUCAUGUGGGUCCACGAGAGGACACACGCGAGGAUGUUUAUGGGGACGCUUUUAGGCAUUCGUGUGUACGGAGAUUUCCCAUCUCUGCAGAUAAUUUUGUGCUCUAUCACUUCACUGAAUUCACUUAAUGACAGGUUUUCUGUUGAUUCUCCUGGGUGUUCUAAGUAUUUGAUCAUAUUCUUAACAAACAGUAAAAGUUUCACUUCCUCUUUCCUAAUUUUUUUUACAUCUAAUUUCUUCCUCUCGUCUGUUCGCUUUGGUUAAUAUCUUUGCACAAUGGUAAACGGUAGGACUGACGGCCAUUCUUGUCUUGUCCUGCCUUUAGUAGGCCUGGGGCAUUAUGUUUUAUUUAUUUUAAUUUUUUUUGGUUCUGCCCAAGGCAUGCGGAAGUUCCUGGGCCAGGGAUCACAUCUAAGCUGCGGGAGUUCUCGUCGUGGCUCAGUGGUUGACGAACCUGACUAGAAACCAUGAGGUUGCGGGUUCGAUCCCUGGCCUUGCUCAGUGGGUUAAGGAUCCGGUGUUGCUGUGAGCUGUGGUGUGGGUUGCAUACUCGGCUCGGAUUCCGUGUUGCUGUGGCUCUGGCAUAGGCUACAGUUCCGAUUCGACCCCUAGCUUGGGACCCUCCACAUGCCACAGGUGCGGCCCUAGAAAAGACGAAAGACAAAACUAAACAAAAGAAACAGUAGCUACAGUAGCGACAUUGCUGAGUCCUUAACCACUAGGCCACCAGGGAACUCCUAUUUUAAUUUUNAUGAAGAAGGGCAAGUGUGGUUUGGGGAGGACAGCUUCUCACACACCCUCCGCUCCCUUCCAGGAAUCUCUUUGGUGAAUCCCAGCCCGAUGGUUUCGGAAUCCCUGCAUUUGCUAAAAUGCAGGUUGCCCAGCUCCACGCUUUGAUUUUUGCUAUUUCUUUGGGCCGCUCCCUCGGCAUAUGGAGGUUCCCAGGCUAGGGGUCGAAUCGGAGCUGUAGCCACCGGCCUACACCAGAGCCACAGCAACACCAGAUCUGAGCCGCAUCUGCAACCUACACCACAGCUCACGGCAACGCUGGAUCGUUAACCCACUGAGCAAGGGCAGGGACCAAACCCGCAACCUCGUGGUUCCUAGUCGGAUUCGUUAACCACUGCACCACGACGGGAACUCCUAUUUUAAUUUUUAUUAGGCAAUGAGAUUUCUUUUUCUACAUUUUUUUCCCCAUUGUUGACUUCCCUGAGGCGUGUGGAGCUCUCAGGCCAGGGAUCAGCUCUGCAGCUGUGGCACCGGGGACUUUUAACCCACUGUGCGGGGCUGGGGAUUGAACCCUCAUCCCAGCAUUCCCAAGAUGCCGCUGAUCCCACUGGACCACAGCUGGAGCUCUUUAUUUUAAUUUUUUUAAAGUAAACUUAGCUAAAGUGCUCAAACCCUAAGUGCAGAGCUUGAUAAAGUUUUACAAAUGUACACACCCAGAUGAACACAGGGUUUCCAGCACCGCAGGAGCUCCCUGUGCCCCCUUCUCAAUCACUGUCUCCCUCCAAGAGAAGCACUCUUCCGGGACACUGAUUAGUCGUCUGCUUUUGAAUGUCAUAUAAACGGACUGACGCGAUGUGUACCCUUGCGUCAGCGACUCCCACCCAACAUGGUGUGUGUGGGACUCAGCCACGUGGUGGGUGUACCGGCAGUUAUUUUUUCCCUCUGCCACGCGGUUAUCGCGCAGACGCAGAUGACGGCGGCCCGUCCACUGGCCCAGCUCCGCGGACGGACACUGGGUUGUUUCGGUUCUGACUAUGACACACAAAGGCACUGAGAACGUGUGCACACAUUCUUCUGCGUCUCGGUGAGACAGACGCCUGGGAGUAGCGCUGCUGGUUCCCAGGUCACCUGUGUUUUAGCUCCUGCACGCGCGUGGUCUCAGCAGAUACCGAGGAACCAUGUUCCAACAGGGUUGUCACCAGUUUACACUGAGUUGCCCACUUCCUCAACAAGGCCUGGAUUUUCAGUCCUUUUGAUGUUAGCCACUCUGUUGCGAGUGUGAAGAUAGGACUGUGCUUUUAUUUUGUAUUUUCCCUGAUAAGGGAUGACACCGAGCACCUUUUCAUAUGAUUAUUGGCCAUGUCAAUGUUAUCUAUCUUUUGUAAAAUAUAUAUAUAUAUAUAUGUAUAUAUUAUAUACAUGUGUGUGACUGAGUCGCUUUGCUGUACACUAGAAAUUGACAGGACACUGUAAAUCAACUAUAAUGGAAAAAUAAAAAUCUUAAAAUAGAUUAAAAAAUGAAUGUU